UCAGGAUGAACGCUAGCGGCAGGCCUAACACAUGCAAGCCGAGGGGUAGUCUCUUUCGGGAGAACACGACCGGCGCACGGGUGAGUAACGCGUAUGCAACCUACCUUUGGCACGGGGACAGCCCGGGGAAACCCGGAUUAAUACCCGGUAUAGUCUGUUAUACACCUGUAUAAAAGACGAGAGCUACGGCGGCCAAAGAUGGGCAUGCGUGCCAUUAGUUAGUUGGUAGGGUAACGGCCUACCAAGGCAUCGAUGGCUACGGGGUCUAAAAGGAUGAGCCCGCACACUGGUACUGAGACACGGACCAGACUCCUACGGGAGGCAGCAGUGAGGAAUAUUGGUCAAUGGGUGGAAGCCUGAACCAGCCAUGCCGCGUGCAGGAAGACGGCCUUAUGGGUUGUAAACUGCUUUUCUACGGGACGAACGGCUCUGACGUGUCAGAGAUUGACGGUACCGUAGGAAUAAGCAUCGGCUAACUCCGUGCCAGCAGCCGCGGUAAUACGGAGGAUGCGAGCGUUAUCCGGGAUUUAUUAGGUCUUACAAGGGUGCGUAGGCUGGGCAAGUAAGUCAGUGGUGAAAGUCCGCGGCUCAACCGUGGGGCAUUGCCAUUGAAACUGUUGUACUUGACGUACAGGUCGAGGUAGGCGGAAUGUGUAAUGUAGCGGUGAAAUGCAUAGAUAUUACCCAGAACACCGAUUGCGUAGGCAGCUUACCAGCCUGGGAACUGACGCUGAUGCACGAAAGCGUGGGGAGCGAACAGGAUUAGAUA
rnacentral:rRNA from 1 species